rnacentral:rRNA from 1 species
UACGUAGGGCGCAAGCGUUAUCCGGAAUUAUUGGGCGUAAAGGGCUCGUAGGCGGUUUGUCGCGUCGGGGAGUGAAAACCAUGAGCUUAACUCAUGGCUUGCUUUCGAUACGGGCAGACUAGAGGCAUGCAGGGGAGAACGGAAUUCCUGGUGUAGCGGUGAAAUGCGCAGAUAUCAGGAGGAACACCGGUGGCGAAGGCGGUUCUCUGGGCAUGUCCUGACGCUGAGGAGCGAAAAGUGUGGGGAGCGAACAGG